CCUACGGGUUGCAGCAGUGGGGAAUAUUGGACAAUGGGCGAAAGCCUGAUCCAGCAAUGCCGCGUGUGUGAAGAAGGCCUGCGGGUUGUAAAGCACUUUCAGUAGAGAAGAAAAGCAUGGGGAUAAUACCCCCGUGUCUUGACGUAACCUACAGAAGAAGCACCGGCUAACUCCGUGCCAGCAGCCGCGGUAAUACGGAGGGUGCAAGCGUUAAUCGGAAUUACUGGGCGUAAAGCGUACGUAGGCUGUUAUUUAAGUCAGAUGUGAAAGCCCCGGGCUUAACCUGGGAAUUGCAUUUGAU
rnacentral:rRNA from 1 species